GACAUAGGUGGCGAACGUUAUCCGGAAUUAUUGGGCGUAAAGGGUGCGUAGAUGGUCUAAUAAGUUAUCAGUGGGAAAUCGAGGCUCAACCUCGUGGAAGCUGGUAAUACUGUCUGACUUAGAGUGCAGGAGAGGUUAACGGAAUUCCCUGUGGAGCGGUAAAAAUGCGUAGAGAUAGGGAGGAACAUCAAUAACGGCGAAGGCAGUUAACUAUUCUGUUACUGACAUUGAGGCACGAAAGCGUGGGGAGCAAAACGGG
rnacentral:rRNA from 1 species